rnacentral:rRNA from 1 species
GACCAGCAGCCGCGGUAAUACUCCUACGGGAGGCAGCAGUGGGGAAUUUUGGACAAUGGGCGCAAGCCUGAUCCAGCAAUGCCGCGUGCAGGAAGAAGGCCUUCGGGUUGUAAACUGCUUUUGUCAGGGAAGAAAUCCUCUGGGUUAAUACCUCGGGGGGAUGACGGUACCUGAAGAAUAAGCACCGGCUAACUA